rnacentral:lncRNA from 1 species
UCUCACCAAAAAUUCUCAUUCCCAACUUCUUCCCUUUUCUUUUCUUUUUCAUUGAGCUCAUCUUCAUGCUUUUCUUCUUUUCUUUUCUUUUUCUCAUGAAUUUUUCUUUUUACAACAAUUGAGCUCAAUGCCUUUCACUUGCUUUUUCCAUUUUCCCCCGUAUAACCCCAAACUUGAACCUUUUCAUCACAUACAAUUAAGCUCAUCCCAAC